CCCGCGCAGCCCCCGCGCUGCCCCUCCGGCACGGCUCGGCUCGGCUCGGCACGGCCCGGCGGAGCGGAGCGGGAGCGGCGGCACUGGAGCCCCGCCGGGAGGGCGCAGCCGCCGGCCGUGUGCGCCUCGGGGCUGCGCGCCCCGCGUCUCGCCGCUCCCGCAGCUACGCUACAGCAGCUCUGAACUCGCAGGUCCGGCUUCUCUCAAACAAUACCGAGGUUUUCAUCUCGCUCUACAUAACCUAUGGGACGUAAAUGCUUUUAAUUUAGGAUAGUGUCAUUUUUGCUUAUUUCACCAUUGAGGGUGCAAAUCCUGAAGCUGCAGAAAAGCAUCCUCACUUCUGCACCAGGACUUCUCCCCAAGAACGCCUCCUGUUUUACUCCACAUUGGUGUCAAAUAAACCAGUGUAUGUUGCAUGGACAGCUGUGAUUGUGCUUCAGAGCCUUAUAGCAAACUAGGAAGAGAGUAGAUCACACAGGAUUACCUGUGAGUUUUCCCAUUCUUAGGGAAUAUAUGUGGUGCUGUCUUGUGAAUGCGAGCUCGAGCUGCAGCUUUACUGUAGACAGACCAUGCAGAUGGUUUCUUCUCCCCUUCUCCUGGCAUCUGCUUCCACAAAAUUCAUAGAAAGACAAACAUAUUUAAGACUUUCAUUCCUCUUUCAGAUUUGUUUUUAUUAAUCAGUUGGGCCAGAGCUUAUGGAUGGAGAGGGAAAGAAGUGAGGGAAAGUCACUAACAUGGUCACAGAAGACUUUGUUCCUUAGGAAAUUAGUAAAAAAACCUGCACAUGAAAGUGCAGA